rnacentral:rRNA from 1 species
CUGCCCAUCAGAAGGGGAUAACACUUGGAAACAGGUGCUAAUACCGUAUAACACUAUUUUCCGCAUGGAAGAAAGUUGAAAGGCGCUUUUGCGCCACCGAUGGAUGGACCCGCGGUGCAUUAGCUAGUUGGUGAGGUAACGGCUCACCAAGGCCACGAUGCAUAGCCGACCUGAGAGGGUGAUCGGCCACACUGGGACUGAGACACGGCCCAGACUCCUACGGGAGGCAGCAGUAGGGAAUCUUCGGCAAUGGACGAAAGUCUGACCGAGCAACGCCGCGUGAGUGAAGAAGGUUUUCGGAUCGUAAAACUCUGUUGUUAGAGAAGAACAAGGAUGAGAGUAAAACGUUCAUCCCUUGACGGUAUCUAACCAGAAAGCCACGGCUAACUACGUGCCAGCAGCCGCGGUAAUACGUAGGUGGCAAGCGUUGUCCGGAUUUAUUGGGCGUAAAGCGAGCGCAGGCGGUUUCUUAAGUCUGAUGUGAAAGCCCCCGGCUCAACCGGGGAGGGUCAUUGGAAACUGGGAGACUUGAGUGCAGAAGAGGAGAGUGGAAUUCCAUGUGUAGCGGUGAAAUGCGUAGAUAUAUGGAGGAACACCAGUGGCGAAGGCGGCUCUCUGGUCUGUAACUGACGCUGAGGCUCGAAAGCGUGGGGAGCGAACAGGAUUAGAUACCCUGGUAGUCCACGCCGUAAAC